rnacentral:tRNA from 3 species
UUAGUGGAAUUUGACACAGUGGACUCUUAAUCCAUUGGUCAUAGGUUCGAAUCCUAUACGACCCACCA